rnacentral:lncRNA from 1 species
GUGACAUGGCGCUAGUUCGUUAUAAUGGAUUGAUUAGUUGCAAAAUCAUUUUUGUUUGAUCUUUUGUAGCUCGUACAUCAAAACAAGCACGAUACAAAUAAUUGUAAAUGAGUUUAUUGCCAAGAUAAAGAGGAAAUGCGUACAUAGGAAAAAUCAAGUUGAAAGUCCUCCUAGAUUGGUUUCGUCUUCAGCACUAAAUGGUGGUUGUUACAAAGGUGAAACUACUAAAAAUAAAAAAGAAGUUGAGAAAUUAGUUGCACUUGCAGUUAUCCUCUCCAUGUUAGCAGAGCCGGCCCUAAGGGGAGUCGGACGAAACAUUCGCUUUGGUUCUAAAUUCCAGAGGGGUAAUAUGUAUAGAUUAUCUCGCCCAAAAAUAAUAAAAAAAAAAAUAGAUAGAUCAUCUGCCCCCAAAAUCAUAAAUGGAUUUGGCCUCACAAAACUCAUAGCCACCCCUGCAUGUUAGGUAAGGAAUUAUGGCUUUGAAUGGAUGAUGUGGAAAAAGCGGACUAAACCGUGAACAGACUAAACCACUCUAUUUUUGGAGCUGACAACAAACCGCCACGGACCAAGUUUAUCUCUACGUAAAACCGGUCCAUAGUUAGUCCUCCGCGGACUUGUUCUAUUUUUUUCAACCCGCACUACUAUGGAUUAUAGUUUAUGACUGGUAAACAAAAUGCGAUCCAAACCGCAAACGGAUUUGUCCACCCUAACUGUCGUAACCAUUCGAACCCUAUAUUAUUGAAAACUAGAACAAAUGACAGAUUUUUUUGGGACAUUGAUCCUUGAUCAAUUGUUUUUUCU